rnacentral:rRNA from 1 species
UACGUAGGGUGCAAGCGUUAAUCGGAAUUACUGGGCGUAAAGCGUGCGCAGGCGGUGAUGUAAGACAGGUGUGAAAUCCCCGGGCUUAACCUGGGAACUGCAUUUGUGACUGCAUCGCUGGAGUGCGGCAGAGGGGGGAUGGAAUUCCGCGUGUAGCAGUGAAAUGCGUAGAUAUGCGGAGGAACACCGAUGGCGAAGGCAAUCCCCUGGGCCUGCACUGACGCUCAUGCACGGAAAGCGUGGGGAGCAAACAGG